rnacentral:rRNA from 1 species
AAAUUUUCAACGAUGGAUGUCUUGGCUCCCAUAACGAUGAAGAACGCAGCGAGAAUGCGAUAUGCAAUGUGAAUUGCAGAACUACGAAUCAUUUGAUCUUUGAACGCAACUGGCGCUGACCAUAUCAGCGUACUUGUUUCAGUGUGCCU